CUACGGGAGGCACCAGUGGGGAAUAUUGGACAAUGGGGGCAACCCUGAUCCAGCAAUUCCGCGUGGAUGAUGAAGGGUUUAGGCUCGUAAAGUCCUUUUAGUUGGGAAGAUAGUGACGGUACCAACAGAAAAAGCACCGGCUAAUUACGUGCCAGCAGCCGCGGUAAGACGUAAGGUGCAAGCGUUAUCCGGAAUUACUAGGCGUAAAGGGCAUCUAGGCGGCUAUGUAAGUCAGAGGUGAAAAGUCUGGGCUCAACCGAGGCCUUGCCUUUGAUACUGCAUAGCUAGAGUACGGGAGAGGAGGGCGGAACUACAAGUGUAGAGGUGAAAUUCGUAGAUAUUUGUAGGAAUGCCGAUUACGAAGGUAGCUCUCUGGACCGAUACUGACGCUAAAGUGCGAAAGCUAGGGGAGCGAACAGGAUUAGAUACCCGCGUAGUC
rnacentral:rRNA from 1 species